GAGCCAUUAGCUCAGCAGGUAGAGCACCGGACUUUUAAUCCGGGUGUCGGAGGUUCGAAUCCUCCAUGGCUCACCA
rnacentral:tRNA from 1 species